rnacentral:rRNA from 1 species
UUUAAAGAGAGUUUGAUCCUGGCUCAGGACGAACGCUGGCGGCGUGCCUAAUACAUGCAAGUCGAACGAACGGAGGAAGAGCUUGCUCUUCCAAAGUUAGUGGCGGACGGGUGAGUAACACGUGGGCAACCUGCCUGUAAGUUGGGGAUAACUCCGGGAAACCGGGGCUAAUACCGAAUGAUAGAGUGUGGCGCAUGCCACGCUCUUGAAAGAUGGUUUCGGCUAUCGCUUACAGAUGGGCCCGCGGUGCAUUAGCUAGUUGGUAGGGUAAUGGCCUACCAAGGCAACGAUG